GAUGAACGCUGGCGGCGUGCUUAACACAUGCAAGUCGAACGGAAAGGCCCAAGCUUGCUUGGGUCCUCGAGUGGCGAACGGGUGAUUAACACGUGGGUGAUCUGCCCUGCACUUCGGGAUAAGCCUGUGAAACUUGUUCUAAUACCGGAUAGGACCACUUCUUGGAUGUUGUGGUGGGUAUUUUUCUCGGUGUGGUGUGAGCUCGCGUCCUUUCAGCUUGUUGGUGGGGGAAUUGCAUACCAAGGCCUCGACGGGUAGCCGGCCGGAGAGGGGGUACGGCCACAUUGGGAGGGAGAUACGGACCAGACACCCACGGGAGGGAGGAGGGGGGAAGAUAGCACAAGGAGCGCAAGCAUGAGGGAGGGAGGCCGCGUGGGUGAUGACGGCAGGCGGGUGGGAAACACCUUUCGCUAGGGAGGAAGCGAUUUUGUGACGGUACCUGGAGAAGAAGCACCGGCUAACUACGUG
rnacentral:rRNA from 1 species